GUCCUCUCAUUGGCCUGUUCCAGUAGGAUUCGCGAGUUUUCAUUGGCUCUCCCGUUGCUAUCCCGUUGCCGGCUCGUCACACUGUCACACUUCUCACGGCGUGCGGUAAGUAUCGACGGCUAAGGAAGUUUCCCUUCCGUUCGUUUUUCAGACGUUUUACGCUCUUUUUCUUUACCUGGCUUUUAUUCCCCGUCUACCUACCUCGGGAAUGUACUGUAAACGUGACAUUUCAUGGGCCCGAUUAGCGGCUCGCUCGGCCGGUGGUUUAUGUGCGAAAUAGCGGGUGUCCGACCAUCUGUCUGGCUAGAUGGCAUUAAAAUGACUGAUUAAAUGUGAGCAGGUAGUUUGCGUGCUCGUCUGCAGUGGCUCGUCUGGAGUGCUGCUUUACAACUCCAGAUCGACCGUGUGUGUUGCUGUAAUGUAUUGCGGACGUGCGGCGUAGUACCGCGUUCAUUGCUGUCCUGCGAUAAGGAGGUCGUUUGCCUGAUGCGGGGUCGCACUCUGGGGAACAGUGUGACCUCGCUGUGCAGGCACAGACAGCAGUGGCU